AUCUUUUAUGUAAAGUAAGAUGAAUUUAUCAGAUCUUUAAUAUUAAAUCGUGACCAAGUUUCCAGUAAAUUUAGUUAUGUGCUGUGGAACAAGUGCUUCUGCGUCUAUAAGGAAGCAUUUUUAUUUCGUAUGUUUAUAUAUGUGAGCCUUAAUUUAUUAAUCCAUCUAAACAGAUUUAUCUACAGAAUAUUUUAUUAAAAUGUUGUGUUACCAUCGGGACUGAGCCCUCCUGUCUGAGAAUCAUAAUUUAAUAUUUUUUCUCUCAGCCUCUUGUCUCUGCUUAAUAUUUUAAGCAGUUUACAGUAAAUUCCAUUAGUGGCCAGUGACCAAAGUUUUUUUUUUUUUUUUUUUAAAGGACCAUACUCAGCUAUUUUUGAAACUAUCCUGUACCGUCGCUGAUUCUAUUUUUUUUUUAUUGUGUAAGGUGAAUUGCCUUUAACAUUCCAUUUCUAGUCUAACAUAUUUAUGGUUGAUAUAAAAACAUCACAAUAGAUUCUUCAUUUUCCUAUUUUUUUCCCCUCACGUUAACUUUGACAGUUUUUUUUCAUAAGUUCAGCUCUGAUCAAAAGAUUUCACCUGGAUUUAAAGGAAAUAUAAAGAAUGGAACACUGCUACAGUGAUAUAGUUGAUUUACUAUAACAAUGGAAUACUAAUUUUGUCUACAAUUCCCAGAAGAAUCAUCUAAAAUGAUGCAUUUUCCUAUUAAACAGAAAAUGGAAGCCAAGUGUAUACAAAAAGAUUGGAAGGAGGAGGAGCUCACUGCCAUUGCAAAAGGUUUGUAUUGUUAAUUUACUUAUAACACUUGUUCAGUAGGAUGAGCUGAUGUCUCCUUUAACCCCUUAAGGACGGAGCCAAAUGUACACGUUGUGAACGAAACAAAAUGUAAACAAAACCUGGCAUUUGCGCUACAUGUCUGUCCAACCAUAAUUCAACUCUUUCAUAGUAAAUACACCCACCCUUAUUAUAUAUCAUUUUAUUCAGGGGAAACAGGGCUUUCAUUUACUAUCAAAUAUUUAGCUAUGAAACUUAAUUUAAUAUGAAAAAAAUGGGAGAAAAUAAGAUUUAUUUUUAAUUUUUUUAGUUCUACAUGACAUUUUAACUCAAUGUCAUAAUACUGUUUGCUUUUACUGCAAUAAAAUACAAAUAUUUGUAUUCAGCAAAGUCUCACGUGUAAAACAGUACCCCCUAUGUACAGGUUUUAUGGCGUUUUGGGAAGUUACAGGGUCAAAUAUAGCACUAUACAUUUGAAAUUGAAAUUCGCCAGAUUGGUUACGCUGCCUUUGGGACUUUAUAGUAGCCCAGGAAUGAAAUUUACACCCACAAUGGCAUACCAUUUGCAAUAGUAGGCAACCCAAGGUAUUGCAAAUGGGGUAUGUCCAAUCUUUUUUAGUAGCCAUUUGGUCACAAACACUGGCCAAAGCUAGCGUUAGUAUUUGUUUGUGUGAAAAAUGCAAAAACCGCCAAUUUUGGCCUGUGUUUGUGACUAAGUGGCUUCUAAAAAAGACUGGACAUACCCCGUUUGCAAUGCCUUGGGUUGUCUACUAUUGCAAAUGGUAUGCCAUCAUAGGGGUAAUUUUCAUUCUUGGGCUACCAUAGGGUCUCAAAGGCAACGUAACCAAUCUGGCGAAUUUUAAUGUGAAAAAAAUGAAACACAAGCCUUAUAUUUGAUGCUGUAACUUUUGAAAACACCAUAAAACCUGUACAUGAGGGGUACUGUUGUACUCGGGAGACUUCGCUGAACACAAAUAUUUGUGUUUCAAAACAGUAAAAAGUAUCACAGCAAUAAUAUUGUCCAUGUAACUGCUGUUUGUGCAUGAAAAAUGCAAAAAACUUCACUUUUACUGGCGAUAUCAUCGUUGUAAUACAUUUUACUGUUUUGAAACACUAAUAUUUGUGUUCAGCGAAGUCUCCCGAGUAGAACAGUACCCCCCAUGUACAGGUUUUAUGGUGUCUUGGAAAGUUAUAGGGUUAAAUAUAGUGCUAGCAAAUUAAAUUCCCUUUACUUUCGGCAUGGGUUGUCAGGCAGGUCCAGCUAAUUGUAAUUAAUUAAGAUACCUAAUUAUGUAAAAAUAUUACAUAAAUAUAUAUGUAGAAUUAAUAUAUGUAUAUAUAUACGUAUGUGAAUCUAUAUGUGUAUAUACAUAUAAUUUUUUUAAAAUAUUUUUAUUUAUAUAUAGGUAUAUAUAUAGUGAUAUAUACGUAUAUAUUUAUGUAUGUAGAUAUAUAUAUUAUUUCGUUCUAUGUGUAUUUUGAUAUAAAUAUAUAUAUAUAUUAAUAUCACAAUACAGUUAGAACGAAAUAACACACAUCUACCGGUAUAUAUUUUUUAAUUAUUUUUUUUUAAAUUUAUUUCUUAACGUAUUUACAUAUUUCAUUUUUUUAUAUUAUAGAUAAAUAUAUAUAUAACAAUAAUUAUAUAUAUAUUUAAUCAGUAUCAGUCUACGUGUAAUUUGAUAUUAAUAUAUAUAUAAUUAUAAUAGUAAAAUACACCUAGACAGUAUAUGUGUGUGUAUGUAUAUGUGUAUAUAUAUAUAUACUUAGAUCAUAUAUAUAUAUAUAUGAUCUAAAUAUAUAUAUAUAUAUAUUUUUUUUACACUUAAUUAAUUUAUUUUCAUUUUAUUUCCAGCCAGCAGGGGGACCACCUGUCAUUACAGGCAGCCCCCCUGCUGGCAAUACAGAAGCCAGCUAUACCGGCCAUGUGAUUGUGGGGUCCUCGCAAGGACCUCACUCUCACAUGGCCCGGGGGCACCGGAGGAGGAGGAUCUGCCGCGGGGGGGCUCCCUGGGAAGUAAAGAAAGACCGGAGGGCGUACAAUUACGCCCGGCGGCGUUUAGAGCCGCCUAAAAUAGGGCGUAAUUGUACGCCCUACGGUCUUAAGGGGUUAAGGGGAGGAGGAUAUGUGUAUUCUAAAAGGCUUCUGUUAAAGUUACACUGUAGUCACCAAAACAACUUUAGCUUAACAAAGCAUUUUGGGUGUAUAGAUCAUGCCGCUGCAGUCUUACUGCUCAAUUCCAUUUAGGAGUUAGACCACGUUUGGUUCUGUCCAUGCAGCCCUAUCCACACCUGCCAUGGCUGUAACUGACAUAGCCUGAAUAAAAACAAAAUGGUUUCAUUUUCAAUCAGAUGUAACUUACUUUAAAUUAUUGCCUGUUCUGUAAAUUGAACUUUAAUCACUUUAAUCAGGGUUUAGCAAGCUAUUAACAGAGUGGGAGAUAAUACAUUCUAAAUUAAACAUAAUGUGCAAUAAAGGAAGUGUAAACAUUAGAUGACGCUUGAAAGGAAGUGUUUAGUAAGGCUGCGUACGUCAUUUGCAGGGAGAUGUAGCUAGGGCUGUAUAAACAAAGUGAUUUAACUUCUAAAUGGCAGAUAAUUGAGUAAUGAGGCUGCAGGGGCAUGAUCUACGCAACAAAACUGCUUCAUUAAACAAAAGUUGUUUUGGUGUCCUUUUAAAAUCAAUGCUGCCCAGUAUACGUUUUACAAAUGUCAUCCUUUUAAAAGGGAAACCAUUUUAUAUUACCCUGCAGAAAAGCCUGCACAUAUAACGUGUAUAAGAUUUGGUUAUCUUAAACAGUGUGGAAACAGCUAUUUAGGUUAAUUUCAUUGUGUACAACAAUCUAUUGUGUAUCAGUUGCUUUGUGUUUUUCUUUUUGUGUUUUUUGUUUAGAUUGUUUUAUAUGCCACAAUGAAGAUACAAUUUUACAAAUGAUCUUACAUGUGCUAUUUAUUUCACUGCGUGAACUGUCAGCCUGCUAUGUUGAUAAAGAGUCUCCAAUUAUACAUCAAGCUUAUACUUUCUAUAUAGUUCAUAGUGCAACAGAGAAGUUAAUUCUGUAGACAAUAACCUUUGUUUUUUUUUUUGUUUGUUUUAUUAGCGAUGUAGUGCUGCUUAGUUUAAAGAAAACAUGACUGGUCAAAGAAAAUGAUUCAUAGUGUAGUAGGGACAAAGGACAGAAAAACUAUAUGAUUAUCAUUUUAAUUCCCCUCUAAAUCAGUCAUGCUUUUAGUUUGACUACUCUGACCUUAAAAUUGGAAUUCACUUUAAAUUCUCAGUUUAGUAAAUAGCCACAAAUUUGUUCACAGACAAGAGGGCAAGAAACAGUCAACCGCCUACACGGCACGGUGUUAAUGAAUAAGCUGUAUAUACUCCUCUCCCUACCUCGUUAUAUUCAGUUUGUUGCUCAGAAUUCGUCUUAUUAAAGAGUCCCACCUAUCAUUCUAAUAUCCACAACAUUCACAGGAUUAUUUCACAUUCACGAGGUCAAAAUAGCCGAGUUAAAGAGUUUCUAAACCUGAUUAAGCCACAUUAAAGCCACAAUCUAAUAACACCUAAUGCGUCUGAUUUUGAAAUUGAGCCCACGGGGCUGAAAGCCUGAUUAGCUGUUCACUUUUUCCUGUUUCCCUUUGGUCUGCCAUUAGCUUUAUAUCUACUAGUAUAUGGACUUAUCGCAUACCUUAAACUGGUGUUACCAGAGCUUUAAUUAUUAUAGAGUAAGAGAUUAGAAAAGGCUUGAUUUGAAAUCAGACAGAGACAGAGAGGGGUAUUUAGUGUCUGUAUAAACAAUUAUACUCUUUAUUGGAGAAAAAAAAUGGAUAGCAUACAAAUAGAACAGAGAAUAAUAAAAAACAAAGAAGAGGAGGCAAGAAUGAGAGUCUCCCAACUGUUGGAGUCCCUAGAGAAAAAUGCAGAGUAUAUUUUCAUAAUCUUUACUGGCAAUAACCACAAGCACUGGAAAAAUAGGUUUCUUUCAAAUGCUACUGUAAUUGUUUUUAAACUUUUUGUUAAAAAGCACACUAUUAAGCAGAGUGUCUGAGUUUUUGUAAUGUGGAUAGGAAUUUGUUCGGGAAUUACCGCUCUAAAACAGCUGCUUCUAAACACCUUCCAGGAUAAAAAUCAAGCCGCAUAUGGUGUAAGAAGAUUUAUUUAUCAAACAUCUCUUACCAACUGGCUCUGAAAUCUUGAUGCACACAGUAUCCAUGUAGCCAUUUCAAACAAAAAGAUAAUUCAGACAUUAGAGAAACGUGUCUCCCCUGUUACAGUAGGAGAACUCCCCUGGGUUCCCAACAGCCCCACGUUUGGCGGGGCAGUCCCUAUAUUGAGGUUCUUUCCCAACAUCCAAUUUAUUUCCCUGGUGUCACUUAUCCAGGGGACAUGAUUAGUUGUGCUUGUACUAUGCACUAGAAUCAUGCAUAGAGCUCUUCAGCAGCACUCUAUGCAUAAUCCUGUAUAUUGGGGGCCGUCUGGGAGGCUGUCAGUCAAUGUCCUUGGCAGGCCUAUCCAUUAUGGGCAUCACUAGUGACACAAGUUGCCCACUUACCACAAUUCCAUACCGCCCAACCAUUGUUGGGCCAUAUGUCUCCUCAAUGCUCUAAAUGCUAUGGGCACAAUAGGGCUGGGUUUUUGACAGACAGUAUGUUUUGGGCCCAUAAUGAAUAUAUUAAAAAAAAUUGCCGUCCUGGCGGUUCAUUUUCCCUGUACUUUUAAUUCUAGUUAUUUUAAUUCUCCUCCCCCCCCAACCCCCCCACCCCUUUUUUGAUUUUUGGUAAAACAAAACAUUCUAUUAUAUAAUAGUUAAUAUAUGGGGUUAGAUAUUAAGUUCUACAGCCUUCACUAUAAUAUGUAACAGUUUGUUGAUCCAAGGAUAAAUCUGUCAUUAUAAAGUCAAGAAGGAUUUUUCAAAUAUUGUGGCAAAAAACAAAACAAAAAACAAUCUUUUUUUACCCCUUUUUUAAAAAUGUAUUUAAAGUCUUUAUUUUUUUCGUGCUCAAAAAAAAAAAAUACAGAGAGGUAAGCAAUGCCAUAACAGCUAUUGCCCGCUCGUUGGUCAACAGUUAGGAACAAGUAUUUGGCAUAUCAGAACAUGGCACAUUUUAUAGUAUAUUGUAGAUAAGAGUGAUAACAACAUAUCAGCUAUUAGAUAAGUCCUACCUGCCCUUAAGUCGUGAUAACCAUAUGGACUUUUUAUACUGGGGUCUUAAGCUGAUCUGAAACAGAUCUUGUCUAAUGUACAAGAACAAGGUUAAAAACUCUGCAGAAGUUGCAUAAUUUGCAAUAAUAAUUAUAAACAUAAAGUAAACAGGUGUUGUGUUUUUAAAUUAAAAGGAGGAGGUUUGCAGUGAUGAGGUCAUAUGGUGAUACAUCUCGUAUUAUGUUUAGAGUACGAGAGGGAAUAACGAUAUAAUAACACUAAGCUAUUGCUGUACAGUAAGUAGAUAUUUAAGACCUUUGCGUGGUGUCAUAUUUUGUAGUGCAUAUUUGAGAAGGGCCUGCAUAGCCACAGGAGCAGGUGUUAGCCAAUUUAGAUCUACAACAUUUAAAGGACCACUAUAGGACCACUAUAGUGCCAGGAAAACAAACUCGCCCCCACCCUCAAGGCCCCCCUCCCGCCGGGCUGAAGUUGGAGGAAGGGGUUAAACACUUACCUUUCUCCUCCUCCUUUGGACGUCAUCGGCUGAAUGCGCAUGCGUGGCAAGAGCCGCGCGCGCCUUCAUUCAGUCCAUAGGAAAGCAUUCUCAAUGCUUUCCUAUGGACGCUGGCAUCUUCUCACUGUGAAAAUCACAGUAAGAAGCGCGGAAACGCCUCUAGCGGCUGUCAAUGAGACAGCCACUAGAGGCUGGAUUAACCCUAUUGUAAAGUACUCUAUUUUUCGAUACUUUGACAGCUGAAAGCCCAUUCACCUGCGUUUAGCGGUCAAAUAAAGGAAGGCAAUUUUAGAAGUAACAAGAGAAUGGGCGCUGUAAGGUGAUAAUUCUGUAACACAAUCUCUAUAAAUACUUACCUGGCAAUGUGCUGACUCAGCUCCCCAGCAGAUUAGCGCACUUGGCCUCUUAUCAGUGUGUGAGUGUCGAAACUGCUAUGUUUACAGCAGACAGGGUUAACCCUAGAUGGACCUGGCACCCAGACUACUUCAUUGAGCUGAAGUGGUCUGGGUGCCUAUAGUGGUCCUUUAACAACGAUAUGGCAAUAAAAGAAAAGCACAAUUUUUAAUUAUGUAUAGGGCCAUAGGUAUGCACUUGAGUUUGACGUACGGCUUCCACACUUUUUUAAACCCCUUUUAAUUAUCCUUCCUCUUUAGCCUUUUUUAUGAAUGCUGUAAAAAUUCCGAUAUCAACGUAUUUGGUAACUUAUGCAAAGUCAUAUUUCUAUCCUGUAUAUCUUCCAAGUUAUUGAAAACAACAAAAAAGAUGCAGCACCUUCCUCUCCUAAUUAUUCCUGGACCAUGUUUCACCCAUCUUUGAUUUUGAGAAGUUUUGCAAUGCAGUUAGAAUGUUUUAUUCAAAACCUUGCACCUUUAUUCCAUUGCUUACAAUUCAUCAUUCUUACCUGGUCUGGUGCUUAUUCCCUUCCUUUCCCCAUGACAUCAGUGUUACACCUUAUCCUCAUACUGAACAUGGGAAGAAUAAACCCAUAGGAACCUCUUUUCCUUAUAAGCAUAAACCAACAUUCCCAUAAGCACCAACAAAAAAGGUAUUGAAUGAUUAAAGGUCUUUUAUAUGGCUGUAGUUUAAAUAAUGGUUACCAGGGGCUAAAAGAGAGUAACCGAAAACUAACCAAGGUCAGUGUACUAAAAACAGUAAUUGCAAAACAAGCCAAAGGUCAAUAUGAGCAGCCAGCAAGGAACCAUAACAAGCCUUGGCCAGGAUAUCAGAAACCUUAACUCACAGCAGGACAAUAUAAAUCAAAUCCAAUACAACAAUCACAUAAGGAUGCCAGUUUCAGAUUGUCUAUAAAGGCACUGAAUGGCUGUUGUGUAUUUGGAGCACUAAAUGUCACUCUGGUGGGUGAUACAAGUGAUGCUUCAUUGAUUUGGCGCACAUGUGAAAAUGACAUUCCGUUUGGAGGGACAAAAACACUAAAUAAAUAUGAAAGAUAUUAGAGAGGGGGUUUAUGUGUUCCUUAUCUAGCCCCCUCUAUAAACACAAUAAAACACUGGCCAGGUACGGUAAAUAUGCAGAGGAAUCGGGUUUUACCUAUUUACAUAUUUUAGCAAGUUUUUGUAUUGAAAAACAGUGCAUAGAAAAUAUAUGCGAGAACCUGUUUUGAAUGCAGUUGUUUUCUUGUUAAUGCUAUGAUUUACUGUACAUUACUGUACACACUAUAAAUAUCUUAUUUUAAUUCAUCAAUAAAAUCCAAAGAUAAAAAUAAAUAAUAUGCAGAGGGAUGUUAUGACUCACAGGCCCUGACCCCAAAGCUGAUCAUUUCUUACGUUUUAAUAGAGAGGCUUGUGGCCAAUAUGUCUGCAUAGCUUUGCACUACAAACAACAGUAACAAUGUGUAUUUAUGCACAAUGUUAAUAGUGACGGGAAAAACGACCAAUGAUAUACCAUGUCUGCCAUGACAUAAUGGAAUUUAUUUAACCCCUUGGCAUGAAGAGGACAGCGUCUUAAACCAUAUACAUUUUACACACACUGGUGAUGGCAGGCAGCUAUUUUUAUUUUUUUACGCAGUAUCUAAGAUUUUUAGAAAUAUAACAAUAUUGGGGUUAAGAGUUUUCAAACCCGCAGCUUGUUGUGUCCUCUACAGGUCAACAGGUCAACAGGUUAGGCCAAGCUAUUAAAUGACAAUUCAUUGUUUUGUGCUGGUCCAGUAAUACGAUAUGGUAUUCAGCAUAAAGCAAAAGAAUUUGAAGACAAACACGUCAAUAGCUUAGCUUGCUCUUCAGAAGUCUGCUUCGGAUAACGCCAUGACAUGAUAAAUAUACAAUUUGAAUUAUUCAGUCCUAAAAUUUACUUUCUAAGAUUAUUUUGCAAAACACUUUUUAAAAAAAGUAUUUUCUCUUAUUUCUUUCCAAGUGUUUUAGUUAACAAUGAGUCAUUGUUCUAAUUAAGUUUCCCAAUGAUUAUUCCACAAAGAUUUCCUUUCCUAAAUAGAUUACGUGCAGUAAAAGACAAGCCACAUUUCCUCUUGCAUAAAUCAGAUCCAACUGGGUCUAAUUUAUACAAGCUUGUUUUUAUUUUGUAUAUUAGUGCGAGGUUUAAAUUAUAGGGAUAAAAUGUUUGUUUUGUUUUAUUUUGAAAAACUGCCUAUUUCCCAAUUUAGGGAAUUUUUCUUCAAAAUAAUUUUUUUUUUAAAAUGGAAGGGAAAUUUUGAAGACAUUUGGGAGGCUGCUUUAAAUUUACUUACCUUCACAUUUGGUGGACAUGCCAGUUUUUUGAACAUUUUCAUGACUGUCUGAUUAAUAUUUUCCAUAGACCAAUUAUAUUGGACCCAUGAUCUUUUUAUUAUUAUAUCUGAUAGAGGGUUUUUUAUAUACUGAUCAGCAAUUAUUAUAUAAGCAUUGGCUUAUAGUUGGUUACAGGAUUCCGUCUCUUCAAAGGAUGUGAUUUUGCUCAAAUUAAACCAUAAAACAUUUGAUGAUGGCCAAAGUCAGAAACACCAUGUUUCCUCCUUGAGAGGAAUAUGGGGGUCUUUAACUCUUCUCUUGUCAUAGGAAAGGGUGCUUUCCCAGUCCCGCAGUUCAGAUUCCCCUCUUCUCUCUUUACUUUAUGUCUAUCUUUUUUAUUUGGGUGCUUCAGCCAUUUGUUUUUGACUGAAAAUCUGUUCCGAAUUUUUGGUUUCGGCUGCUGUCUUACUCACAAAUCGUGUAUUGCAUCUGCUUGUUUCUGUACCAAUUUCUGGCCUUAAAUAACAAAUUUAAAAACAAAACAAGCAAAUAAACAAAAAAAAUGCAUCUUGUAUUCCAGAAAUUGAUGUGUGUUGAGUGUACAUGGCAGACUGUUUUGCAUUGCUAAGCUCUGAGAACAUGUAAACACAUUUCCAAAUCAUUGUUUUUGGCAUGAAUCUAACAAUGACUUCUGUGGAUUAUGUUUUUGUCCAACACUAAAACAAGAGAGGGGGUUAUUUCCUUAUACAAUGAAGAUUUCAUUAUAGAAUUAUACAGCCCCAAAAUCCAUCCUAGAUGUACCGUUUGGAGGAGCUUCUACAGUAAAGCGUGGAAGCGAACUUGGCAGACAGGCUUUCCCUCUUUUGUUACAAUUCUUGUGUUAAAUAUUUGUUUUUCUUUCAUGUUUUUUUGUGAGUGAGCUGGCUUAAAGAACAAUUUGUGGAGUCUUAACAUUCCUAUUCUGGUUUGAUAUUUUUCUUAAGUAAUUAUUGCAGUUUCUCAAUAACAGCAGGGUUAAGAGGACUGGAGUAGUCUGGGUGUGUAGCAGGGCGUACAGCGGUAUAAUACCUGCUUAUGGGAUAUAUGAAGAAAGUGCACUUUCGUCAUAUAUAUCCCAUAAGCAGGGAUUUUAGCUCCUUUAAAUGCGAUUUUUGUACCUCCUACUAUUUUAUUGCACUUUGGAUUUUCGACUUAUUGUACUAUUGGCUGCCUCUGUUUCUCUUCUUUUCCAUAUAACAAACAAACACCCUGAGACAUUCUGACGCACCUAUUUCCACUGAAGAGUCUACUCAUCUACAUUUUAUUAAGUAUCCCUGACUGUCCAUUGCUGCUCUAGUGAGAUUUUUUGGGACUCUUUUAUUUUAUGUUGGUGCAGCCCUACUCCAUCUUUUCGUAUUGCUUUCUCUAUUUGUUGAAGGAUUUGAGGGGUUUCCUUUGUUUGGGUUGCUGCCCAUUUACAUAUUUACAGCCCUCCAUGUGUCCUAUUAUCCCUUUUUUCCAGCCCUCUAUGUGUCCCACUAUUCCCCCCUUCCCAGCCCUUCAUAUGCCCCUAUACCCCCCUUCCAGCCCUUCAUGUGUCCCUAUAACCCCCCAGCCCUCCAUGUGGCCCUAUACCCCCUCCCAGCCCUUCAUAUGUCCUUAUAGCCCCAUGUGUCCCUAUAGCCCCCCAGCCCCCAUGUAUCCCUAUAGCUCCUGUAUAGUUGGUUACAGGAUUCCGUCUCUACAAAGGAUGUGAUUUUGCUCAAAUUAAACCAUAAAACAUUUGAUGAUCGCCAAUAUAGCCCCAGCCCCAUGUGUCCCUAAAGCCCCCUCCCCAGGCCCCAUGUGUCCCAUUAUAGCCCCCAUGUGUCCAUAUAGCCCCCCACGUGUCCCAUUAUAGCCCCCUCCCCAGCCCCCAUCUGUCCCUAUAGCCCCCCAGCCCCAUGGGUCCCAUUAUAGCCCCCACCCAGCCCCAUGUGUCCCAUUAUAGCUCCCUCCCAGCCCCCAUAUGUCCCAUUGGCUCCCUCCCCAGCCCAUAUGUCCCAUUAUAGCUCCCUCCCAGCCCCCAUAUGUCCCAUUAUAGCCCCCAGCCUCCAUGUGUCCCAUUAUAGCCCCCUCCCCAGCCCCCAUAUGUCCCAUUAUAGCUCCCCCAGCCCCCAUGUUUCCCAUUAUAGCCCCCGUGUGUCCCUAUAGUCCCCCAGCCCCCAUGUGUCCCAUUAUGCCCCUUCCCCGGCCCACAUGUGUCCCAUUAUAGCUCCCCCUUCCUGUACCUUGCUGUAGCGUGGCUAAGCAGGCAGACCGCGGUAGAGGAGUUUCUUUCCCCCUACCCGGUCUGACAGGAAGCAGUCAUGUGCUCUCUGUAAGCAUUUCCUGUCAGACCGGGUAGGGUAACAGAAUCUCGUCUACCACGGUCUGCCUGCUCGGCCACGCUACACUCUCUGACCGGCAGGAGGGGAGCGCAUCCCCUCCUGCCGGUUGCUGUCUAAUUACGCUGUGCGACCCGCAGGCCGCUGCGCACUAGGUGGUUGCUCACCGGCCCGAUAGUAUGCCGGCCCACCAGUAAAUUUCCCAGUGUCCCGGUGGGCCAGUCCAGCCCUGGCUGGUCCUGUCACGACAGUGACCAAAGUCACAACAAUGACCCCUUCACACAGCGUGAAACCCACAGAAAGACGGUUACCGGACCUUAGUAUGGCCUGACUAGCGUCUGAGAAUAGUCAAGAGAAAUAGCCAGAGGUCAAUUACCAGGAAGAACAAUAAGAAAAGAUAGCACCAGGGGACUUAAACAAGAACCACACUAGGGCAUCUGACAAGUGUCAUGCUUGCCCUUUUAUAGUGUGGGUUCUUUGGCUUUAAUUCCGUAGCCACGCCCCCAAAAAGUCCGGGAGCGUGGCCACGUUUGAAUUUUGGCGCCUUUUUCGAUGUGACGUCGGCGCGCAUGCGCCGCGUCAUAAAUGUGGGCGUGUUCCGAGCGGCCGGCGUCAGAAUCGCUGAGCCGCCCCCCGGAAGGAUCGGAGGAGGACCCGGCGCUGCGCGGGACCGGCGGGGAAAGGUAAGCGCUUGUCACAGUACCCCCCCCUUGAGAACCGCCCCCAGGGCGGGUGGAACCGAACCCACAAGAGCGCCGCCUUUCAUACAGACGAAUCAGGCGAGGGGCGUGAACGUCUGAUGCAUUGACCCACGAUCGCUCCUCGGGACCGUAACCUUUCCAAUCAAGGAGAUACUGUAAUCUACCUCUAGAAAUCCGGGAAUCUAAUAUAGAUUUAACUUCGUAUUCGACAUGAUCCUCCACUGGUGUGGUAGGAGGAGCGGAGACAAUCUGCGUAUAACGAUUACAAAUGAACGGUUUGAGAAGGGAAACAUGAAAAGUGUUAGGAAUUUUCAUAGUAUUCGGUAAUCUCAAACUAUAACAGACUGGAUUAAUGCGUUUGAGUAUCUGAAACGGACCUAUGAAACGGGGAGCAAAUUUCAUCAAGGGUACCUUUAACUUUAUGUUACGGGUACUUAACCAAACCCUGUCUCCUGCCAUGAACGUAGGAGCAGCCCUACGUCGUUUAUCCGCAUUUUUCUUUUGAAUCUGAGACUUUUUUUUUUUUUUUUUUAAUUCUUUAUUUUUGUUGUGCACAAAUAAACAAACAGCCUCAAUAUGCCACAACAGCGGGAUCGAGGUACAUAACAAUUCAAUAUGCAAUACAAGAUGUGACACUUGAUAUUUAGGCACAAAAUUAUUUUGUUUUUUAAAGCAGGUAAGCUAUAAAUAAGUCAGGCUAGUGAGUUCAGGAAUAUUAGAUUAUUACAUUAGUUGAGCCGACAGUAUAUGUUAUUUAGUUAGGACAGGAAUAGUCAAAAGUGUUAUAAAACGUGCACAUUAACUAUAAGAACAGCCAGUGGAUUUUAACACGUGCUAGGCAAGUAUAGGUUAUUAUACCACACGUUCAAGGAGCCACAACUGCAGCUGCAAUCUCCACCACAGAAUAUAUGUUGGGUUACAAGCAUGGCAAUGGAAAAGUCAGCACAGCCCAGUAGGCCAGCCCUCUCAGUUUAACUGAUUACUGGUAGAUGUUGUCAGACUAAUGUACAGUGUGCAAGCGUAUGUAUGGAGAUUGCCGGGUGUCUAUUUGUGUAUUCAUAGUAUAUUAGUGAUGUCAGAUGCUGGUUAGUAGGCUGGUGAAAAUGCGGGAGGAGACAUUAGUCAGUACCUGGGCGACAGGGGACUUGUGUGACAACGGUGUCAGGUACAGUGUGAUAGUAAGGGACGGACCAGGAGGCAGACAUAACAGAAAAACUGCUUAUAAACAUUUGGUCCAGCUAUUUAAAUAUUGUCUGCCCAUCAAGCCCAGUCAAGUUUACAUGCGCGUCUAAGUGGAAGUGGAAAACCUCCCGGGGGGAGCACGGUUCACUAGGUGCUUGUGUCACUAAAACUGUGCCAAAGUUAGACACCUAUAAAUUGUCGCUUAGGUCAUCACAGUAGGUUUUUCAGCUAUUAAGUAAAAAAUAGUGCACAGUAGUAAACAUGCGUGCUACUAUGCUUAAGAGUAUUGGGUAGGCAUCAUUUUAACACAUACAAUAUAGGAGCAUCACAAGACAAUUAGCUGAGCAGAUUGGCAGGUAAGUAAACCAGAUUAAUGGAGCGCCUUAUGGCUGGGUCAGUCCGGCGCUCAGGUCAUCAAGCUAUAUCCACAUGAGGUUUGCAAAAAAGAAAGGGAAAGAAAAAGCAUAAUAUGUCAUGAAGAAGUGAGAUGCAACCGUUAAAAAGGGUUCUGUAGUAUCUCAGCAGUUCUCUGCAGUAUGGGUAGACUUGGGAGAACCACGUGUAGGUCCCACCGCCUCUCUUCAGCCGAUGCCUGUUCGGGUCAGGAUACAGUCCUGCAGUAUGAUGUUGUAGGGUGCGGCUCUCUCACACUCUUCCACGCUGAUUGCUAGUAGCGUGUCGCCCUUGCUAAGCGCCGCGUGUGAGUGUUCACCACAUUGCGGCCUGUGCUGUCGCCGUUGGGGAUUGCCUUUUUGGGGCUCUAUGGGAGUCGCUGCCCCAGUGCCUUGGACCUUGUUCCGGGUUUCCACUGCAGCCCUUCCUGGGCGCCUCAGGUACCCAGCUCCUCGAUGCUUUCUGGGCAUCACGAUUCCUUGCAGUUCCCAAGUGGCUGUUGCCCUUCUCUUGCUGCCGCCAGACAGGCCUCCCGUCUCCCUCUUUCUGAGAAUUUCCGGCUGGUUUUGUCGUGCCAGGCGUUGAGGUGCUCGGGGUGUCUGUACAGGCUUGCGUUUAACCUUGCUUGGGUAAGUGCGCGGGUGUGUUUCUGGCUCUUUCUCAUGGGGUGAUGGGAACAGGAGGGCCUCGAGCUUCUCCCAAAGUACUUGAAAGGCUCUGUCCAGCCGGUGCUCCACCUCCCUCCGCCCGCUGUGAGUAUUGGAGGAGCCCCUUGCCUCCACCAUUUUGUUUGCAUUUCCGCCGCUCGUUUCGGGCCCCUGUGUCGCCACUGUAUGGGCGCCGGGUUGUACCAGGGUCUCCCAUGGACAGACCGGGAUAUCCCCCACCGGUCCGGGGGGGGGGAACGGGCGUUUGGUCUCCGUUUAUCAGCCGUGGGUGUCGGCAGGGGAGCGGCCGUCUCCCUCACGCCGACCACGCUUAUAGGCCCCUCAGGUCGAGGAGGCGAGUUUUGCUGUAAGUGUCGCUUGUGAGGCAUCAUUAUGUGCCCCUCUCUGUCACCUUCCUCCUGGUGUCCUUUUUGUGCUGGUUAUGUCUGGUUUGAACGGCUGUUUUCGAAUCUGAGACUUUUGAUUUAAGAUAUGUUUAACCCCUAGCCAAGUGUCUUUCAUAUUGUGAAGAGUACUGUCAACACUAGGCACUCCUGUAGAUGAAAAAGAACUCGGCAAAGUUGUAGGAUUAAACCCAUAAUUAAUAAAAAAAGGGACUAUGUUGAGUGGAUUUGUGUAUUAGAUUAUUAUGGGCGAAUUCAGCCCAUGGAAGUAAUUUCACCCAAUCGUCUUGGUGCUCAGAAGUGAAACAGCGGAUGUAUUGCUCCAGGCAUUGAUUCAUCCUUUCCGUAACCCCAUUAGAUUGGGGUUGAUAAGAAGAAGAAAGGUUAAGGACAAUACCUAAUUGGUCACAAAAUGCCCUCCAGAACCGUGAAAUGAAUUGUGGACCCCUGUCAGAUGUAAUAUCCUGAGGUAUGCCAUGUAAACGUACUACCUCUUUUAUAAAUAAAGAGGCCAGUUCAGAAGAGGAGGGUAAUUUGAUUAGCGGGAUGAGAUCAGUCAUCUUAGAGAAUCUGUCGAUUAUAGUCAAUAUAACCUUAUGGUUCCUGGAAGGGGGCAGAUCCACUAUAAAAUCCAUGGCAAUAUUAGUCCAGGGUUUAUCGGGAAUGGACAAUGGCAAAAGGAGGCCCAAAGGACGAGCUUUGGAUGAUUUAGUGGAAGCACAGACCCUACAAGCAAGAACGAACUCGCGAACGUCCUUCUUGUAUGAAGGCCACCAAAACUUCAAGUAAAGACUCAGUUUUAUGAAUACCUGGAUGUCCUGCUAAUUUGGAGCUGUGUACAAGGAAUAAAACCUUUUUUCGAUAAGACAGGGGUACGUAUAGUUUACCCCUGGGAAUAGUCAAUGAGGUCUGAUCCUGAAACCUAGAUAACUCUUCCAUUAACCCAGAAGAGAUUUUGGCACGGACUGUUGUGAUUAUGUGGUUGGAUGGGAUUAUGGAAGAGAGGUGUGUUACUGUAGGUGAUAAGUGUUCAUAUUGACGGGAUAAGGCGUCAGCCUUAGUGUUCUUUGAUCCUGGUCUGUAAGUUACUAUGUAAUUGAAUCGUGUUAAAAAUAAAGACCAUCUAAUCUGUCUAUCUGACAUUCUUUUAGUUUCUCCAAAAUACGAAAGGUUUUUGUGAUCCGUAAGGAUGGUGAUGGGAACGGUAGACCCUUCUAACAGAUGGCGCCACUCCUUGAGGGCAGAGAUAAUAGCCAAUAACUCCCUGUCCCCAAUGUCAUAUCUCUUUUCUGUCUCAGUUAAUUUCUUAGAAAAAAAUCCACAGGGAUGCAAUGGUUGAUCAUCAGAUGGACGUUGAGACAGUACGGCCCCAAUACCGGUCUCUGAUGCAUCCACCUCUAAUAUAAAUGGACGAGAGGGAUUGGGAUGCCUCAAUACUGGUGCAGAAGAAAAGGCCAAUUUAAGUCUCUCAAAAGCUUCUUUGGCCUCGAGAUUCCAUUCCAUAGAAUUUCGCCCCUUUUUGGUCAUGGCAGUGAUAGGUGCAGUGAUAGAGGAAAAACCCUUAAUACAUUUUCUAUAAUAAUUGGCAAACCCUAGAAAGCGUUGGAUAGCUUUGAGACCAACGGGCAGGGGCCAAUUAAGGAUAGCUUCUAGUUUUUUCUUAUCCAUUUGAAAUCCAGACCCUGAAAUCAUAUAACCCAGAAAAUGCACAGUGUCUAUAUCAAAUUGGCAUUUUUCUAAUUUACAAUAAAGUCCAUUUUCUAAGAGUUUAGAAAGAACCAACCUAACGUGAGUAUGGUGGUCUUGAAUAUUCUUGGAGUAGAUUAGAAUGUAAUCUAAGUAGACAAUAACAAACAUAUGUAAAAAUUCCCUUAAAACAUCAUUAAUGAAGUCUUGAAAGACUGCUGGGGCAUUGCAUAACCCGAAUGGCAUGACCCUAUACUCGUAGUGACCAUAGCGAGUGUUAAAAGCAGUCUUCCAUUCGUGCCCUUUUUUAAUCCUCACUAGAUUGUAUGCCCCCCUGAGAUCCAAUUUAGUAAAGAUAGUCGCCCCUUUUAAUCUAUCGAAAAGUUCCGUGAUUAGAGGAAUAGGAUAGGCGUUACGUAUAGUUAUUUUGUUUAAACCCCGAUAAUCAAUACAGGGCCUUAAGUCCCCUUCCUUCUUGGAAACAAAAAAAAACCCAGCGCCAGCAGGAGAGGAAGAUUUGACGAUAAACCCCUUUCUUAAGUUUUCUGUGAUAUAUUCCUCUAGUACCUUAUUCUCGGUUACCGAGAGGGGAUAAACUGUGCCUCUAGGAGGCAUAGUGCCGGGUAACAAGUCAAUUGGACAGUCAUAGGACCGGUGUGGGGGUAAUUUUUCUGCCUCUCUUGGUUCAAAAACUGCUUUUAAAUCCCAAUAUUGUCUGGGUAUUAAAGUGGUUAAAGGUUCCAUAGUAGGUACAUUAAGUAGACCUACUUGUUUAAUAGGGGUAAUACAUUUUCUAUGGCAGGCCUCACUCCAUUUUACAAUUUCCUUUUUCUCCCAAUCUAUAGAAGGGUUAUGUUUAGAGAGCCAAGGAAAACCAAGAAUAACCGGGAAGAUGGGAGAAGUGACUUGUUGCAGGAUAAUAACCUCCUUAUGCAGGGAACCUACGGACAAUACCACUGGAAGAGUCUCUUGUGUGAUAAACGGGAUAGAUAAUGGUCUACCAUCUAUGGCCUCAACGGCCAAGGGUGUUGAUCUAUUCUGAAAUGGGAAAGCAUGUUCCUGACCGAAUCUAUGAUCAAUAAAAUUUUCGGCCGCCCCAGAGUCUAUUAAGGCAAUGGUUGGCACUUUUUUCUUUUCCCACUCGAUAACAAUAGGUAGAAGAAGCCUAUGGUCUUUUUUAUCAUUAAAGGAGGACAUACACAUUACACCCAAGGCCUGUCCUCCAUGAGGGCUUAGGUGCGGGAGUUUUCCGGCCGGUUAGGACAGGUUGAGCGAGAAUGUCCCUUUCGGCCACAAUAUAGGCAUAGUCCCUCCCUACGGCGGUAUUGUCUUUCAUCCUCAGACAAACGCGUGACUCCCAGUUGCAUUGGUUCUGGAGGAGCGACUGUUGUUGUCUCGGAUGAAGGAUAGGUUAACGCUAAGCGUUCUGGCACCCGUCGAGGUCUGUCUCUAGUAUUCUGCCUGUGUCUAAGACGCUCAUCAAUGUGGGAAAGGUAUGUGAUCAAUUCCUCUAGCACAUUGGGUAGGUCUCUAGUGGCGACUUCAUCUAGGAGUUUAUCUGAAAGCCCGUUCAUGAAUACGUCAAUAAAUGCUUGUUCAUUCCAUCUAACUUCGGCCGCAUGAGUGCGGAAUUCUAAAGCGUAAUCAACAAGAGAACGAGAACCCUGUCUCAUACGUAGCAAGGUUUUGGCAGCGUUAGUUCUCCUCCCUGGAGGAUCAAAAGCCCUCCUGAAAGCUGUGACAAAUUCUACAUAGUUAAACACUACCGGGUUAUCGUUCUCCCACAGUCAAUGCCCUAUCGACCAAUAAGGUAAUGAUAUAACCUAUUUUUGCCCUAUCUGUAGGGUAUGCUCUCGGAUGGAGCUCAAAAUAAAUACUGACUUGAUUCAAAAAACCUCGGCAGCCUUUAGGAUCACCCCCGUAACGGAGAGGAGAGGUAGCAUGAUUAGGAGUACCCAUUUCCAUGGGUUGUUCCUGAGGUCUGAGUACUGGGGUUUGCUCCUCCGGUUGGAGAUGGGCAGUACGAGCAAGCAAGGUUUGUACCGCAAUAGCGAACUGGUCCAUACGAUGGUCCAGUUCUUCAAACCGGUCAUCAGGUGCCGGUCCGAGAGGGUUAACACCUGCAGGGUCCAUGGCCCUAGUGUAAUGUCACGACAGUGACCAAAGUCACAACAAUGACCCCUUCACACAGCGUGAAACCCACAGAAAGACGGUUACCAGACCUUAGAAUGGCCGGACUAGCGUCUGAGAAUAGUCAAGAGAAAUAGCCAGAGGUCAAGGGAAUACGGAAGACGGGCACACGAUUAUCCAAGCCAAGUGACGGGAAACCAGAAAACAGAAUAGUCAGAGAGAGUAAGCCAAGAUACUGCCCUCCCUCACCUCCCCACGUGCUCAACAGCCCCGAACACACACACAGACAGAUAAACGUACUGGCACAUACACACAUUCCAGCACAUAAGCACUGAAACACAGAUACACACACUGGCACAUACACAUAGAUACACACAACGACAAAUACACUCAGAUACACAAAUUGUCACAAACACACACACACACUGGCACAUAUACUCAGAUAUACACACUAACACAUAUUGACAUGCACACAAUCUGACACACACAUGUCACACUUAGAUUUGCAACCACCCUCCUGUUAGCUUACCUUUGUGUCCAGGAGGGUGGCUUGCCUGAAGUUAUGGUGUUGGUUGAGGCCUCCUGCCUCCAGGCUGCUGCCUCUUUCCUCCAGUACUCCUCCAGUACUCCCAGGCGGGAAGCUCUCUGUGAAGGUGACUGUCACUUCCUCCCUGCCGGAUGAUAUCACAGGUGCUCGGUCCACUCUUAAAGGGCCAGCACACGACAGUGCCCCUGUUUAAUGAGUGGGAUUGUUAGGGGGCGUAAAUUAUACACCAUAUAAUGGAAAUCACACACACAUCAGAUUGUGUGUGUGAUUUCCGGGAUAUUGUGUGUGACUUGCGAGUGUCAGGGAGCCGCAUUCAACAUGCAGGAGUCCACUUGGCAUGUCUGAUAAAGUAAUCUGCUGCAGGGUCGAGGUGGUUAUCAGCACAGCAGAAGAUAAGACAUUCCAAAUUAAACAAAAUAUGCAAAGUUAUUUUGGUGACUAUAGUGUCUGUUUAAUAAAUGUUUAAAACAAAACUUGACAUGAAAGAAAAAAAGUUUACACAAGUUACAGGUGAUUUUCAAAUGCUUUAUAAUUGGUGUAAUUGACCAAUAAGUGACAUUUUCUCUGAAUGAUUGAUAGCUUUAAUAGCACUAAUUAUGUUCAACUUUUUGUAUAAUUGUUUGAUCACUGCAAGAACACUAGAAUGCCAGACUAUGCUUGUUCAGGUUUAAUUUGUUCCAACUGUGCAUUUGUACAAAGGGAUGCGAAUAAGAGAAUGUACUCAUUUUGUAAUUGGUCCUUAAUCAUUCAUCUGUUUUGUUUAGGAAUUGAUAAGAAAGGAGUGCAUGGAAAAUCUUUACUUCCAUAUUGCCCAUCACUGCCGAUAAAUCAAUCACCAGGAAGGACACAGAAUGAAAAGUCAUUUGUGAAAUGGAUGGCAGUGUCCGAAGAAUACUUUGCAGAACUCAUGAACAUUUGGCGACCACAUGUCUGAAAAUACCUCGUAAGAUGCAAAAGCAGUUAUUUGUUUUACAGAUAUAUUUAGCGUCCGUACUGCCAAGAUGUCGUAUUUUUACGAUAAUUUUAUAUUUCUCAACACUUUGUAAUACUAUUUUUUUUUUCCCAUUUCAUAGACAAUGUGAUGGGUUUUACAACCCAGCUCAGUUGAUUUUGUGUACGUUUACGCGUGUUUUGUAUAAAAGGAGAGAAUGUGCUUUGUAUCUGUAUGCGGUUCGAUUUUUGUAUCUUUGUAAGAUAUUGCCAAACUGGGUAAUAUUUAGCCUUUUUUUACUACUAGAUCAGUAUACAGUUCACCCAACUCCAUUCAAUGAAACAGAAGAAUCUAAAAUUACAAAAUUAAGGCUAGAGUAACCAAGCUGAGCUUGAGCAGAAUUAGAUAAUUUUUCCAAAUCAGAACUUUUGGCCUACAUUUUUCAAUUCGGUUUUCAAUUCACUACAAUUCUUUGUAUAAAACCGUGUAGCUUUUUAAAGGACCACUAUAGUGCCAGGAAAACAUACUCGUUUUCCUGGCACUAUAGUGCCCUGAGGGUGCCCCCACCCUCAGGGACCCCCUCCCGCCCGGCUCUGGAAAGGGGAAAGGGGUUAAAACUUACCUUUUUCCAGCGCUGGGCGGGGAGCUCUCUGCCUCCUCUCCUCCUCCGAUCCUCCUCCGGGCUGAAUGCGCACGCGCGGCAAGAGCUGCGCGCGCAUUCAGCCCGUCGCAUGGAAAGCAUUUACAAUGCUUUCCUAUGGACGCUUGCGUGCUCUCACUGUGAAAAUCACAGUGAGAAGCACGCAAGCGCCUCUAGUGGCUGUCAAUGAGACAGCCACUAGAGGAUUAGGG